GAUCUGGUUCAGGAUGAACGCUAGCUACAGGCUUAACACAUGCAAGUCGAGGGGCAGCAUGAAGUUUGCUGCAAACUUGAUGGCGACCGGCGCACGGGUGAGUAACGCGUAUCCAACCUUCCCUAUAGUAGGGGAUAGCCCGUAGAAAUGCGGAUUAAUACCCUAUGUUGUAUUUUGAGGACAUCUGACGAAUACCAAAGGUUCACCGCUAUAGGAUGGGGGAUGCGUCUGAUUAGGGUAGUCGGCGGGGUAACGGCCCACCGAGCCAACGAUCAGUAGGGGUUCUGAGAGGAAGGUCCCCCACAUUGGAACUGAGACACGGUCCAAACUCCUACGGGAGGCAGCAGUGAGGAAUAUUGGUCAAUGGGCGAGAGCCUGAACCAGCCAAGUAGCGUGCAGGAUGACGGCCCUAUGGGUUGUAAACUGCUUUUAUGCGGGGAUAAAGUGAGGGACGUGUCCCUUAUUGUAGGUACCGCAUGAAUAAGGACCGGCUAAUUCCGUGCCAGCAGCCGC
rnacentral:rRNA from 1 species